rnacentral:tRNA from 1 species
GGUUGUGGCUCAGUGGUAGAGUGCUCCUCUACCAUGUACGAGGCCCUGGGUUCAAUCCUCAGCACCA